AAGAAAUGAAAGAGUCUGCAAACGGCCUGUGUGGAAAGGAAGGUAGAACAGAACCCUUGGGGGUCGUGGGCUGUUUGAAAUCGCCUCCUUUUCUGCAUGCAGAACCAGAAUGUUUCCUCACACUGGGAUUCUCUUGAACUUAGAACUUUGCUCUCGUCUUCUGCAGAGAGUCUGUAUUCAAAGAGAGUUUGGUGCAUUCCUUGGCCUCAGCUUCUGCAUAUGAAUACUUGUUAUGUUGCCCAUUCCUCAGAGACCUGGGAAGCCUUGUGUAGAGAUGUCAGAAUCUCAUUAUGGAAGGAUCCUAGACCCCAACAAGCGUCAGAGGACAGUCUCCAAGAAAAACUGCCAGGAUCUGUGUUGGACUCUGAAAUGAAAGGGAAAUAACUUGUUACUGUGUUAAACCCUGAGACACUGGAGUUUGUUUCGAUACCAAAGCAUGCCCUAGGGCACCCUGUGUGAGAGCCCACAAUGCCUACAUCUUCCAUUCCAAUAACCAGCAGAAUGUUAUGCAUACAGCUAAAUGUUCAGUGCUUAUUAAAUUAAAUAGAAACAAAAACUCAUCAUGAACUGAUUUUAAUGAAUAAAAAGUAUACCACCAUUCA
rnacentral:lncRNA from 1 species